UGAUUGGCGUGCAUGGGUAUGUUGGAUCCCUGCUAGGGCAGCGACAAUGUACCUUGUUCGCCACUUCAGUUGUUGGCAUAGGCUCGCUGAGCCUUUGUCGGAUGAUGUUUUCCUGUGUUAUAUUCCAUUAAAAGGGCAUUGAAUUUGUUCAAUUGCAUUUGUUCGCUACUCGUUGCGUCCCCUUGGAUUUUGGCAUGUAGUGAACUUUAAAGCAAUUAUCGUGUUCCACUUUCCUUGCAUGCUCGUGCUUGGGUUGUUGGGCCACGGUCCUUGCUCGAUCUCUCGGUUGCGGAAUACCUUGUGGGCACGAGGCACUUGUCCUCUAUUCGGCCCUUAUCGAGCGUUUAACGCUACGUACGAACGACAGUUGUGAUCGUCUUGACUAGGUCUUUAUGGCUUGGCUCAUACGGUCCCAACGUCAAUGAGGAAUG
rnacentral:misc_RNA from 1 species